GACCUAAUAGAGGAUAGAUCAUAAUCAGACCCCUCCCUAAAAAAGACGAGCAGCGGCACCUUCCCAAAAACAAAGGGAAUUCUCCAUUGUUAUUGGUCUCUGAACCAAGAGACAAGAGCCAAGCUUUCAUUUUCUAAAAAUUGAAAGAACGACCUUUCACCCCUUUAAGUGUUGGAGUUUCUCCUUUGGUCGAUUUUCGGCGCCACUGCCGUUGCCGGACUUCAUCACUGGUAGCCUAUUGUAGCUAGUCGUCCUUACCACCCCGUCUCUCUUCUCCUGUCUCUUCAUGUUGCUGCAUUGACGAAAAAAAUAGCAACAGAAAGUUAAUUCCAUCCAAUUUUUCAAAAAAUCAUUUUGGGAUUUCUGGUUAUUUGAUGUCAUGAUGUAGGGGUCGUCGUAGAGGUUACCAUCAUCGGGUUCUGCUCAGUCCGAAGGUUUGCUUUGAUUUUCGCUCCGGUAGAUCGCAGUCGCCGGAUUUGGUUGUACGUCGCAUUGACAGAAAUUAUUAUUAAAAAAGAAAUUAGCUUUCAAAGUUUUCUCAUAGAGGUGUGGAUCUACUCACCGGAUUAUGAGCAUGACAGACAUCCGGGGGGCAUCUGGUCAGGACUAUUGCAUCCAGGAGUUGUUUAAGGAGAUUUUUUAUGUUUUGAGUCUGUUUCUUUUUAUGUUGUCUUGUACUUUAUAGUCAUGUCCAGUAGUAAUGAUUCUUUUAGUUGGUGUUGGAGUUUGUCGUAGUAUAGUUGAGUUGAGUCUCUCGUUAUCAUAUUUCCUGUUUUGUAUUCGAAAAUAAAAAAAGGUUGUAAUGAGUAAUCAAAAAAGGUUUUUAUUUUUAGUUUAA